GGUUAAGCGACUAAGCGUACACGGUGGAUGCCCUGGCAGUCAGAGGCGAUGAAGGACGUGCUAAUCUGCGAUAAGCGUCGGUAAGGUGAUAUGAACCGUUAUAACCGGCGAUUUCCGAAUGGGGAAACCCAGUGUGAUUCGUCACACUAUCAUUAACUGAAUCCAUAGGUUAAUGAGGCGAACCGGGGGAACUGAAACAUCUAAGUACCCCGAGGAAAAGAAAUCAACCGAGAUUCCCCCAGUAGCGGCGAGCGAACGGGGAGCAGCCCAGAGCCUGAAUC
rnacentral:rRNA from 1 species